rnacentral:rRNA from 1 species
AGAGUUUGAUCAUGGCUCAGGACGAACGCUGGCGGCGCGCCUAACACAUGCAAGUCGAACGGAGUCAAGAGGAGCUUGCUUUUCUUGACUUAGUGGCGAACGGGUGAGUAACGCGUGAGUAACCUGCCCUGGAGUGGGGGACAACAGUUGGAAACGACUGCUAAUACCGCAUAAGCCCACGAUCCGGCAUC